rnacentral:rRNA from 1 species
UCGUUUACCGUGAAAAAAUUAGAGUGUUCAAAGCGGGCAGAUAUUUUUCCUGCCACCGAAUACAUUAGCAUGGGAUAAUGGAAUAGGACCCUGACCUCCUAUUUUCAGUUGGUUUUGUUUACAGCGAGGUUAUAUCAGGGUAAUGAUUAAUAGGGAUAGUUGGGGGCAUUAAUAUUUAAUUGUCAGAGGUGAAAUUCUUGGAUUUAUGAAAGAUUAACUUCUGCGAAAGCGUUUGCCAAGGAUGUUUUCAUUAAUCAAGAACGAAAGUUAGGGGAUCGAAGACGAUCAGAUACCGUCGUAGUCUUAACCAUAAACGAUGCCGACCAGCGAUUAGGAGACGUUGAAUACAAAACACCGCUGUUAAUCC